UACGGAGGAUGCGAGCGUUAUCCGGAUUUAUUGGGUUUAAAGGGUGCGUAGGCGGGAUGCCAAGUCAGCGGUCAAAUACGGGGGCUCAACCUGCGUCCGCCGUUGAAACUGGCGUUCUUGAGUGGAAGAGAAGUAUGCGGAAUGCGUGGUGUAGCGGUGAAAUGCAUAGAUAUCACGCAGAACCCCGAUUGCGAAGGCAGCAUGCCGGCUUCCGACUGACGCUGAAGCACGAAAGCGUGGGGAUCGAACAGG
rnacentral:rRNA from 1 species